UCCCUAUUAAGUAUGCCCUACAAGAUUCAAAUGGGUUUAAUUAUUAUUCAAUAGCUAGUGAUUAUCUCAAUUUGUUCGUGCCUCUGUUUUUAACUUGUUUUUAUUUUUUUUUAUUUUUUAUAAUUGGAGUUGGAAAUGUUACGAACACUGAAUUAUUCCCCCAAUGAAAUAGCCAAGUAUCUAAUUUAUUUUUCUUUUUCUUUCCUUAUAGUUGUUGAACUUCUAAAUAAUUGGACUUUGAUAUAAGCGGUGUCACUUUUCUAUUUUGUUUGUUACCAAUGAUAAAAGUUAGAGGAAGAAUUUAUCUCACGGCUCCUCCCAUUAAAAAAGAGAAGAAAAAUCUUUUAGUUGUAGGUAGUUACAAAUAAAUUUGGAUUAUCAUUUUAAUUGCCACGUGUUAGGCCUAAACUUCCAUCACCAGCGCUAGUCAAGCACCAACCUUAUUUAUUACUCCAGGU
rnacentral:lncRNA from 1 species